rnacentral:rRNA from 1 species
AACGAACGCUGGCGGCGUGCCUAACACAUGCAAGUCGAACGGAGUUAAGGAGCUUGCUCUUUAACUUAGUGGCGCACGGGUGAGUAACGCGUAGAUAAUCUGCCUGAUGAUCUGGGAUAACAUUUCGAAAGGGGUGCUAAUACCGGAUAAGCCCACGACGGCCUUGGUCGACGCGGGAAAAGGGGGGGACCUUCGGGCCUUCUGUCAUCAGAUGAGUCUGCGUACCAUUAGCUAGUUGGUGGGGUAAAGGCCUACCAAGGCUACGAUGGUUAGCUGGUCUUAGAGGAUGAUCAGCCACACUGGAACGGAGACACGGUCCAGACUCCUACGGGAGGCAGCAGUGGGGAAUUUUGCGCAAUGGGCGAAAGCCUGACGCAGCAACGCCGCGUGAGUGAUGAAGGCUUUCGGGUCGUAAAGCUCUGUCAAUGGGAAAGAAGUGUAUUAUGGCUAAUAUCCAUGAUACUUGACGGUACCCAUAAAGGAAGCACCGGCUAACUCCGUGCCAGCAGCCGCGGUAA